rnacentral:rRNA from 1 species
UGGGGAAUAUUGCGCAAUGGGCGAAAGCCUGACGCAGCAACGCCGCGUGAGUGAUGAAGGCCUUCGGGUCGUAAAGCUCUGUCGGAGGGAACGAAUGCUCUUGAGGUUAACAGCCUCGGGAGGUGACGGUACCCUCAAAGGAAGCACCGGCUAACUCUGUGCCAGCAGCCGCGGUAAUACAGAGGGUGCAAGCGUUGUCCGGAAUCACUGGGCGUAAAGGGCGCGUAGGCGGCUUGGUAAGCGUGCGGUGAAAGCUCAGGGCUCAACCCUGAGUCUGCCGUGCGAACUGCCGAGCUGGAGCACGGUAGAGGCACAUGGAAUUCCGGGUGUAGCGGUGGAAUGCGUAGAGAUCCGGAAGAACACCGGUGGCGAAGGCGGUGUGCUGGGCCGUAGCUGACGCUGAGGCGCGACAGCGUGGGGAGCAAACAGGAUUAGAUACCCCGGUAGUCCCUGAGCGGGCUGGCAAGGCGCAU